rnacentral:tRNA from 1 species
GCCUGGAUAGCUCAGUUGGUUAGAGCCUGGUGCUGACGAUGCCAAGGUUCCAAGUUCGAUCCCAAGAUGGACA